rnacentral:rRNA from 1 species
GAUCGGCCACACUGGGACUGAGACACGGCCCAGACUCCUACGGGAGGCAGCAGUAGGGAAUCUUCCGCAAUGGACGAAAGUCUGACGGAGCAACGCCGCGUGAGUGAUGAAGGUUUUCGGAUCGUAAAACUCUGUUGUUAGGGAAGAACAAGUAUCGGAGUAACUGCCGGUACCUUGACGGUACCUAACCAGAAAGCCACGGCUAACUACGUGCCAGCAGCCGCGGUAAUACGUAGGUGGCAAGCGUUGUCCGGAAUUAUUGGGCGUAAAGCGCGCGCAGGCGGUUCCUUAAGUCUGAUGUGAAAGCCCACGGCUCAACCGUGGAGGGUCAUUGGAAACUGGGGAACUUGAGUGCAGAAGAGGAAAGUGGAAUUCCAAGUGUAGCGGUGAAAUGCGUAGAGAUUUGGAGGAAC